rnacentral:rRNA from 1 species
UACGUAGGGGGCAAGCGUUGUCCGGAAUCAUUGGGCGUAAAGCGCGCGUAGGCGGCCCGGUAAGUCCGCUGUGAAAGUCGGGGGCUCAACCCUCGGAUGCCGGUGGAUACUGUCGGGCUAGAGUACGGAAGAGGCGAGUGGAAUUCCUGGUGUAGCGGUGAAAUGCGCAGAUAUCAGGAGGAACACCGAUGGCGAAGGCAGCCCCCUGGGCUAGCAGCUGACGCUCAGGCACGAAAGCGUGGGGAGCAAACAGG